UACGUAGGUGGCAAGCGUUGUCCGGAUUUAUUGGGUUUAAAGGGUGCGUAGGCGGCUUUGUAAGUCAGUGGUGAAAUAUGGCAGCUCAACUGUCAGGGUGCCAUUGAUACUGCAGAGCUGAGUACAGAUGAGGUAGGCGGAAUUGACGGUGUAGCGGUGAAAUGCUUAGAUAUCGUCAAGAACACCGAUAGCGAAGGCAGCUUACUGGGCUGUAACUGACGCUGAGGCACGAAAGUGUGGGGAUCAAACAG
rnacentral:rRNA from 1 species